UGGGCUUGACAUGUUGGUGUCCCGAAGGAAAGGUAUGUUUCCAUACCGGUCACCAACAUGUCAAGCCCAGGUAAGGUUCUUCGCGUUGCGUCGAAUUAAACCACAUGCUCCGCUGCUUGUGCGGGUCCCCGUCAAUUCCUUUGAGUUUUAGCCUUGCGGCCGUACUCCCCAGGCGGGGCACUUAAUGCGUUAGCGUCGGCACGGGAGGAGUCGACAACUCCCACACCUAGUGCCCAUCGUUUACGGCGUGGACUAC
rnacentral:misc_RNA from 1 species